UACAGAGGGGGCAAGCGUUGUUCGGAAUUACUGGGCGUAAAGGGCGCGUAGGCGGCCUUCUAAGUCGAACGUGAAAUCCCUGGGCUCAACCCAGGAACUGCGUCCGAUACUGGAAGGCUUGAAUCCGGGAGAGGGAUGCGGAAUUCCUGGUGUAGCGGUGGAAUGCGCAGAUAUCAGGAGGAACACCGAUGGCGAAGGCAGCUCGCUGGGACGUUACUGACGCUGAGACGCGAAAGCGUGGGGAGCAAACAGG
rnacentral:rRNA from 1 species